CCGUAUUCGUAUCCCCCAGG
rnacentral:misc_RNA from 1 species